UACGAGGGGGGCGAGCGUUGUUCGGAAUUACUGGGCGUAAAGGGUUCGUAGGUGGCCAACUAAGUCAGACGUGAAAUCCCUCAGCUUAACUGGGGAACUGCGUCUGAUACUGGUUGGCUUGAGUGCAGGAGAGGAAUGCGGAAUUCCAGGUGUAGCGGUGAAAUGCGUAGAUAUCUGGAGGAACACCGGUGGCGAAGGCGGCAUUCUGGGCCGCAACUGACACUGAGGAGCGAAAGCGUGGGGAGCGAACAGG
rnacentral:rRNA from 1 species